UACAGAGGGGGCAAGCGUUGUCCGGAUUUACUGGGCGUACAGCGCGCGCAGGCGGUUGCGUAUGUGAGCGGUGACAUCCGCGGGCUCAACCCGCGGCGGCCCGCUUACACAGCGCGACUGGAGGCAGGGAGAGGGAUGUGGAAUACCCGGUGGAGCGGUGAAAUGCGUAGAGAUCGGGUGGAACACCAGCGGCGAAGGCGGCUUUCUGGUCUGUAACUGACACUGAGGGACGAAAGCUAGGGGAGCGAAUGGG
rnacentral:rRNA from 1 species